CUCAGUUCGGAUCGGAGUCUGCAACCCGACUCCGUGAAGCUGGAUUCGCUAGUAAUCGCGCAUCAGCCAUGGCGCGGUGAAUACGUUCCCGGGCCUUGUACACACCGCCCGUCAAGCCAUGGAAGCCGGGGGCGCUUGAAGUGCGUUGCCGCAAGGCGCGCCCUAGAGCGAAACCGGUGACUGGGGCUAAGUCGUAACAAGGUAGC
rnacentral:rRNA from 1 species